GAAUGCACCCAAUUGUGUCUGGUCUUGUAAGCUAAAC
rnacentral:rRNA from 1 species